CUCUUCCAAUCUGUUCAUUUUUGCUUUUGCUUGCCCUGCCUCCAGAGACGAGUUGAAUAAGAUGUUGCUGGGGCUGAGGUCAAAGAAGUUUUUAUCUGCUUUCUCCUUUAGGAUUUUGAUGGCUUCCUGUCUUAUGUUUAGGUCUUGAGACCUCAU